rnacentral:rRNA from 1 species
AACUUUCAACAACGGAUCUCUUGGCUCUUGCAUCGAUGAAGAACGCAGCGAAAUGCGAUAAGUAAUGUGAAUUGCAGAAUUCAGUGAAUCAUCGAAUCUUUGAACGCACCUUGCGCCUUCUGGUAUUCCGGAAGGCAUGCCUGUUUGAGUGU